CCUACGGGGGACAGCAGUGAGGAAUAUUGGUCAAUGGGCGGAAGCCUGAACCAGCCAAGUAGCGUGCAGGAUGACGGCCCUACGGGUUGUAAACUGCUUUUAUACGGGAAUAACGCGCCUUACGUGUAGGGCUUUGCAUGUACCGUAUGAAUCAGGACCGGCCAAUUCCGUGCCAGCAGCCGCGGUAAUACGGAAGGUCCGGGCGUUAUCCGGAUUUAUUGGGUUAAAAGGGUGCGCAGGCGGUCUGUUAAGUCAGCGGUCAAAGCCCGGGGCACACCCCCGGCCCGCCGUUGAAACUGGCAGUCUCGAGUUGGAGAGAAGUAGGCGGAAUGCGCGGUGUAGCGGUGAAAUGCAUAGAUAGCGCGCAGAACUCCGAUUGCGAAGGCAGCAUGCCGGCUCCACACUGACGCUGAGGCACGAAAGCGUGGGUAUCGAACAGGAUUAGAUACCCUGGUAGUC
rnacentral:rRNA from 1 species